AUACGUAGGGUGCAAGCGUUAAUCGGAAUUACUGGGCGUAAAGCGUGCGCAGGCGGUUUUGUAAGACAGUGGUGAAAUCCCCGGGCUCAACCUGGGAACUGCCAUUGUGACUGCAAGGCUGGAGUGCGGCAGAGGGGGGUGGAAUUCCGCGUGUAGCAGUGAACUGCGUAGAUAUGCGGAGGAACACCGAUGGCGAAGACAAUCCCCUGGGCCUGCACUGACGCUCAUGCACGAAAGCGUGGGGAGCAAACAGGAUUAGAUACCCUGGUAGUCCACGCCCUAAACGAUGUCAACUGGUUGUUGGGGAUUUAUUUUCUCAGUAACGAAGCUAACGCGUGAAGUUGACCGCCUGGGGAGUACGGCCGCAAGGUUAAAACUCAAAUGAAUUGACGGGG
rnacentral:rRNA from 1 species